rnacentral:ribozyme from 1 species
AAAAGAAAACGAAAAAAGAAAAAAUUAACGGCACACAGUCAACUGGUGAUGUCACCCAUCUGUUUUUUGUUUAUUUUCUCCAUUUUUUUCUACCUUGAU